rnacentral:rRNA from 1 species
AGUGAACGCUGGCGGCAGGCCUAACACAUGCAAGUCGAGCGGCAGCGGGUCCUUCGGGAUGCCGGCGAGCGGCGGACGGGUGAGGAAUGCAUCGGAAUCUGCCCUGUCGUGGGGGAUAACCUAGGGAAACUUAGGCUAAUACCGCAUACGACCCACGGGUGAAAGCGGGGGAUCGCAAGACCUCGCGCGAUAGGAUGAGCCGAUGUCCGAUUAGCUAGUUGGCGGGGUAAAGGCCCACCAAGGCGACGAUCGGUAGCUGGUCUGAGAGGAUGAUCAGCCACACUGGGACUGAGACACGGCCCAGACUCCUACGGGAGGCAGCAGUGGGGAAUAUUGGACAAUGGGCGCAAGCCUGAUCCAGCCAUGCCGCGUGGGUGAAGAGGGCCUUCGGGUUGUAAAGCCCUUUUGUCCGGGAAGAAAUCGUCUGGGCUAAUACCCCGGGCGGAUGACGGUACCGGAAGAAUAAGCACCGGCUAACUUCGUG